rnacentral:rRNA from 1 species
CCUACGGGCGGCAGCAGUGGGGAAUAUUGGACAAUGGGGGCAACCCUGAUCCAGCCAUGCCGCGUGUGUGAAGAAGGCCCUCGGGUUGUAAAGCACUUUCAGUGAGGAAGAACGCCUGGUGGUUAAUACCCAUCAGGAAAGACAUCACUCACAGAAGAAGCACCGGCUAACUCCGUGCCAGCAGCCGCGGUAAUACGGAGGGUGCGAGCGUUAAUCGGAAUUACUGGGCGUAAAGCGCGCGUAGGUGGCUUGAUAAGCCGGUUGUGAAAGCCCCGGGCUCAACCUGGGAACGGCAUCCGGAACUGUCAAGCUAGAGUGCAGGGGAGGAAGGUAGAAUUCCCGGUGUAGCGGUGAAAUGCGUAGAGAUCGGGAGGAAUACCAGUGGCGAAGGCGGCCUUCUAGACUGACACUGACAUUGAGGUGCGAAAGCGUGGGUAGCAAACAGGAUUAGAUACCCGUGUAGUC